rnacentral:rRNA from 1 species
UGCAGUCGAGCGAACUGACGAGGAGCUUGCUCCUUUGACGUUAGCGGCGGACGGGUGAGUAACACGUGGGUAACCUACCUAUAAGACUGGAAUAACUCCGGGAAACCGGGGCUAAUGCCGGAUAACAUAUCGAACCGCAUGGUUCGAUAGUGAAAGACGGUCUUGCUGUCACUUAUAGAUGGACCCGCGCCGUAUUAGCUAGUUGGUGAGGUAACGGCUCACCAAGGCAACGAUACGUAGCCGACCUGAGAGGGUGAUCGGCCACACUGGAACUGAGACACGGUCCAGACUCCUACGGGAGGCAGCAGUAGGGAAUCUUCCGCAAUGGGCGAAAGCCUGACGGAGCAACGCCGCGUGAGUGAUGAAGGUCUUCGGAUCGUAAAGCUCUGUUGUUAGGGAAGAACAAAUGUGUAAGUAACUAUGCACAUCUUGACGGUACCUAACCAGAAAGCCACGGCUAACUACGUGCCAGCAGCCGCGGUAAUACGUAGGUGGCAAGCGUUAUCCGGAAUUAUUGGGCGUAAAGCGCGCGUAGGCGGUUUUUUAAGUCUGAUGUGAAAGCCCACGGCUCAACCGUGGAGGGUCAUUGGAAACUGGAAAACUUGAGUGCAGAAGAGGAAAGUGGAAUUCCAUGUGUAGCGGUGAAAUGCGCAGAGAUAUGGAGGAACACCAGUGGCGAAGGCGGCUUUCUGGUCUGUAACUGACGCUGAUGUGCGAAAAGCGUGGGGAUCAAACAGGAUUAGAUACCCUGG